rfam:Picea glauca, whole genome shotgun sequence.
AUGUACAUGCCUACAUCAUAGCGUAAAUGCACUAGAUCCCAUUAGAACUCUGCAGUUAAGCGUGAUUGAGCUAGAGUAGUACUAGGAUGGGUGGCCGCUCGGGAAGUCCUAGUAUUUUACAUG